UGAAACAUCUAAGUACCCCGAGGAAAAGAAAUCAACCGAGAUUCCCCCAGUAGCGGCGAGCGAACGGGGAGGAGCCCAGAGCCUGAAUCAGUGUGUGUGUUAGUGGAAGCGUCUGGAAAGGCGUGCGAUACAGGGUGACAGCCCCGUACACAAAAAUGCACAUAUUGUGAGCUCGAUGAGUAGGGCGGGACACGUGGUAUCCUGUCUGAAUAUGGGGGGACCAUCCUCCAAGGCUAAAUACUCCUGACUGACCGAUAGUGAACCAGUACCGUGAGGGAAAGGCGAAAAGAACCCCGGCGAGGGGAGUGAAAAAGAACCUGAAACCGUGUACGUACAAGCAGUGGGAGCCUCUUAAUGGGGUGACUGCGUACCUUUUGUAUAAUGGGUCAGCGACUUAUAUUCUGUAGCAAGGUUAACCGAAUAGGGGAGCCGAAGGGAAACCGAGUCUUAACUGGGCGUUAAGUUGCAGGGUAUAGACCCGAAACCCGGUGAUCUAGCCAUGGGCAGGUUGAAGGUUGGGUAACACUAACUGGAGGACCGAACCGACUAAUGUUGAAAAAUUAGCGGAUGACUUGUGGCUGGGGGUGAAAGGCCAAUCAAACCGGGAGAUAGCUGGUUCUCCCCGAAAGCUAUUUAGGUAGCGCCUCGUGAAUUCAUCUCCGGGGGUAGAGCACUGUUUCGGCAAGGGGGUCAUCCCGACUUACCAACCCGAUGCAAACUGCGAAUACCGGAGAAUGUUAUCACGGGAGACACACGGCGGGUGCUAACGUCCGUCGUGAAGAGGGAAACAACCCAGACCGCCAGCUAAGGUCCCAAAGUCAUGGUUAAGUGGGAAACGAUGUGGGAAGGCCCAGACAGCCAGGAUGUUGGCUUAGAAGCAGCCAUCAUUUAAAGAAAGCGUAAUAGCUCACUGGUCGAGUCGGCCUGCGCGGAAGAUGUAACGGGGCUAAACCAUGCACCGAAGCUGCGGCAGCGACACUAUGUGUUGUUGGGUAGGGGAGCGUUCUGUAAGCCUGUGAAGGUGGCCUGUGAGGGUUGCUGGAGGUAUCAGAAGUGCGAAUGCUGACAUAAGUAACGAUAAAGCGGGUGAAAAGCCCGCUCGCCGGAAGACCAAGGGUUCCUGUCCAACGUUAAUCGGGGCAGGGUGAGUCGACCCCUAAGGCGAGGCCGAAAGGCGUAGUCGAUGGGAAACAGGUUAAUAUUCCUGUACUUGGUGUUACUGCGAAGGGGGGACGGAGAAGGCUAUGUUGGCCGGGCGACGGUUGUCCCGGUUUAAGCGUGUAGGCUGGUUUUCCAGGCAAAUCCGGAAAACC
rnacentral:rRNA from 1 species